UUUUUAGUUAGAACACUUAGCGGCAAAAUUUCCCUCUUUGCAAAUUUUCUCUUCAAACAAAAUUUUCGCCUUGCCAUUCUCCUCAGAAAUUCCCUCUUUGCAAACCCAGUGCUCUCCGCCUAGUCGCCGACCGCCAUUCUCCUCAGACACCGCCAUCUUCCUCCGCCGUCCGCCUCUCUCUCUAGGGAUUCGUAGCGUCGCAGUUAUAUCAAACCCUCGCACUCAAAAUGGUCUGAUUAUCCGCUGAAUUUCGCCGCCGUCAACUCAUCUUCCUCCGCCGUCCGCCUCCGAUCCCCUUAUUUGCUGAUCUGAGUGUCCAUAUAAGUUUGUCCGGCACUUGUCUGAUAUGGAGGAUUCCCAGUCAGUUGUGACGCUCAUGGAUUCCACUACCUCUAAGAUACAGCAACUGCAGAAAGCAUUUGCUGAGCUUGAGAGUCACCGUGCAGUUACUCUUGUACACGACAUACACUCACGCCUCAGACCUCACACCUCUGCUGCCGUCUAGAUUCACCGCCGUCGCUCCGUCUCACACAUCCGCUGCCGUCUCACCCUCGUUGUAUUAUCCUUCCUCUGCCAGCCGUCGCGUCUUCCCUCCCCGGCCUGCCAACGUCGCCUCUUUCCUCCAUCAACAUGGUACAAGUUAGUCUUCAACCCUAGGCUGCGGGGGUUUGGGUUUAUUACUUUCAAUUCGGAGGAUGCAGUUUCUGACUUUUUACCAGAAUGGGAUAUACGAUCGUGUUUAAACACCUUGCAGUUUCUCAACAAAAAAGAAGGAUACCCUCAAUGUGGUUUUGGUGGGGUGGAUUCUGGAAGGAAAUUAGAUUUCUUGUUAUGGUCACACCAAGCUGUAGUGGUUGAAUGCAAUGAAGUUGAAUGCUAUCAACCGGGACUAUCCUAGCUGAUAGACAGAUUUCCUUCACAACUUUUUUAUAAGCUUCUUCAUCUUCUUUUUUAAAGAUGAGGUUUGUAGUUAACAAAAAUAUAAAGGUAGUAUGAAAGCUCUAAAAUAUCCAGAGGCAGGUUUAACUUAAUAUGACAGAGGUAAUGUUUUGAGAACCUACGCGUAUGAUUGGUUUUAUCAAAUGGUCUGAACUCUGAAUUCAACUAGUUUGUGUUAUUUUGCUUGUGGUCUAAAUUACCUAGGUUGAGUUUUUUUAUUUAUUUAUUAUUAUGCAUAUUCCCUGUCUCUAGUUUCCUUUUAUAUUGUAUUGGACAUCAAGUUGACUACAUUUUAUAUAUAAAUAAUAAAUGAUUUCUACUGCCAGGAUCUUUCAAUGUUGAACCAGUGGUCAUGCACUUGAAUGUAGCAGUAAUGAUAACAGUCACCUAACUUAAAAUGGUUUCUUGGGGUGAUUGGUGAUUAUAUGAUCUUACUGUUGAAUUUUGUGCCCUACCUCAACUAAAAGCUUUAAAUUGUUAGAGAACUGAGAUAUUUUUUGCUUUAUUUAUUAUAUUUGUUACUGAAGUUCAUAAAUUUCCAGGAGAGAGAGUGACAACUCUGAAGCUGAAAGAGCUCAGCAUAUUAAACAACUUCGUGAACUUUAGGAGCAUAUUCAAGAGAAAUAACAUCAGUUUAUGGAAUUGCAGGAAUAGAACAGAAUUGCAAAGGAAACCAUUCUUUACAAAGACGAACAGAUGAGGGAGGCCCAUGCUUUGUUGACUCGUGCUCAGGAGAUCGAUUCCUUGCAACAAGCUAAACUACGUAAACGAGCUGAACAAUAUAAUCAGCUUUGGCUUGGUUGUCAGAGACAGAUUUUUCUCUAGUUUGGCGAGAGGAAGUGCCUACAUUUACAUAUGCAACAACUCCAAUGAGGCAAGAGAAAGGAAUGGUACUUCGACUGAUAGUUCUCAAGUCUCAAAGGAAUCUUCAAAAGAUACUUCUCAGUAUGGGCAGAACAAUGGCAACAAACUUAAUGAGAAUGGUAAUAAUGAUGCCUCUAGUGGAAACUCUGGACACAUACCAAAUGGAAAUGCCGAAAAUGCUUCAUCAUUUACUUUUAUUGGGAAUGUGUCAACUCAGAGUGAUCUCCAUGGCGUUCCACUUGCUCCUUCAUCUUUACUUGGGAUGGCAACCUUCAUUCCACCAGGUUAAAUUGCUGCAGUGCAUCCAUUUUUAAUGCAUCAAUAGGGAGUAGGUAUGAUUUGAUCAUUAGAACGUUGUGAUCAUUUAGAUUUGGUUCGUGGAAUUGUUUUUUGUAGUAUUAUGA